CAAUAGCGUAUACUAAAGUUGUUGCAGUUAAAAGCUCGUAGUUGAAUUUCUGAUUGCGAAAGGUGGUCCGUUGCGCAAGCAAUGCGUACUGUCCAUUUGUGGUCAUCCUCGGAGUUGUUGUGUAUGGUCUUUAUUGGUCGUGCAUGACAUUCCGUCAUUUACUGUGAGCAAAAUAGAGUGUUCAAAGCAGGCUUAUGCCGUUGAAUAUAUUAGCAUGGAAUAAUAAAAUAUGACUUUGGUCUAUUUUGUUGGUUAUUACUCCAAAGUAAUGAUUAAUAGGGAUAGUUGGGGUGAUUCUGUAUUCCGAUUCGUCGUAGAGGUGAAAAUUCUUGGAUUUUCGGAAGACGAACUACUGCGAAAGCAUUUACCAAGGAUGUUUUCAUUAAUCAAGAACGAAAGUUAGGGGAUCGAAGAUGAUUAGAUACCA
rnacentral:rRNA from 1 species